rnacentral:rRNA from 1 species
UACAGAGGUCUCAAGCGUUGUUCGGAUUCAUUGGCGUAAAGGGUGCGUAGGCGGCGCGGUAAGUCGGGUGUGAAAUCUCGGAGCUUAACUCCGAAACUGCAUUCGAUACUGCCGUGCUUGAGGACUGGAGAGGAGACUGGAAUUUACGGUGUAGCGGUGAAAUGCGUAGAUAUCGUAAGGAAGACCAGUGGCGAAGGCGGGUCUCUGGACAGUUCCUGACGCUGUGGCACGAAGGUCAGGGGAGCAAACGGG